CCAUGAGAGAGAGCUAAGAUGGAAACAAGCCUGCUCUGCCCAUGUGAAGCAUCUCUUCUCUGAGAGAUGAUUAAAAGCUAAUUAAUAGAAAUGAGCCUAAAGAAGUAACAUCAUGCAAAUAAAAAUGGCUGUACAAUAUCUGUCAUCUGCUCCCCACAUUCUGGAGUCCUGCAUUUUAUUCUAAAGAUACCGUCGCCGAGGUUCGCAAGGCACUGAGAUCAACAGGGCUGAAAAGUGCAAAUCUGGUGGCUGCAGAAGGGACUCAGCACUACAGCAAAGCCAGCAUCUCUGUAACAAGCGUCACUGGGCUUAAAUAGCAUGUGAAAGAUUGAAGGAGAUGCUUCUGCAAGCUCACAUGCACAAAGAGCCUUUCUAGAUAUUCAUCUGUUAACUCACUGGCACGUAAAUUUGUAGGACGGUUGCAACAACAGAAGAAAUGAUGAUAAAAAUCCAGAGAUGGGGACAACUAACGGUACCAGGUAACCUAAUUUCCCUCCCUGACAGCACGGGGAGUUGAUAAAUAGUCACAGAAUCAGAGAUAAAAUCAGAUUAUUGGAUCCAUUUUAAAUUCCCUUGGUUUACCUACGAUAAUUGCCUCCAUUUCCUUGACAAGCAAGGCUGGAAUGAAGCAGCAUCCAAGGACUCCACUGCUGUUUUCAGGGAAAAGUGCUAAAAGGCCCGCCCAGCACCUUUCCCUAGAAUUUAUAUUUACCCUGUUUAGACCACACAACAGGUUGCUCAGAGCACAAGGGAACACUAAACUGCCAAAUGUUUACUACACACACAGUGGCACUCCCCCACAGCCUCACGCCCUUCCCUGUGAAAAACAAGGGCUCCUGCCACUGCUUGGUUAUGAAUGCAUCCUGUGCCUUCCCAAACAGAACUGAAACAACUUCCAAGUCACCCACUAUCCCCUUCAUCAGUCCGAACUGACCCCUUAAUGUGAAAAUGUCACCAUCCUCAAACUACAGAACUGUCCUGAUGCAAACUCCAAGGUCAAGGGGUCACAUUUCUGAGAUGCAAGCACAACUCCACAAACAGAAAAGAAGGAGCAUUUAGCCAACAGCAAAGUCAAUUAUUCCAUUAAAUGAGGUGUAAAAUGCUAAUUUCUACCAAAACCACACAAUUUUCAGAACUGAAAAAUCCCAGUCAAAGCCCCACUAAACUAAGCCAAGCUGUGUACACAUCCCAAGAAGGAAUUUACAAAGCUGACUCUGGAGUUAUCGUUUCAAACACCAUCUAGCCUUUUGUUGUUGUUGUUGUUGUUUUUAAAAAACCAGUUAUUUAUUUAGCCAACAGAAUUCACCUUGGGCUAUGCUUACUAGAAAACACCAUUAUCUUUAAUCUUUCAUGUAUAUCAUUAUGAGAACAGAACAGGAAACAACUCACUUAAGGAGGCAACUGCAUGAGGUUUAUUCCUGAACAGUGGAGCACUUCAAAUCUGUCAUGAGGGGGGGAUACUGUGCAUUUUUGAGAGCUUGGUUUUUUUGGGAUUUCAGGUAACUACAUAUGAGUAAUAACACUUCUUUCUAAAAGUAUAGCAGUGUUGACUUUGCAAUCAAAUGGAACCACCAAGCGACUGAGCAAUCUAAGCCACAUGGGAAAGCUAAAAAUUUCCCAAAACAUUUCCUCUAAAACCAUCUGCUAACAUAUAUUUUAAAAGAAUUAAAAGAAAAGAAAUAUAGGCAUGGCAAGAGGUAUUAAAAAGACCAGCAACAUGCAGGAACCAAUGCAGAAGCACUGGAAAGAAGAUCUGGGGAGAAAACUAGUUAUUUCAGCAACCCAGCUGGACACUUACAGGGGAGAUGAGUAAUGCCACUAGUAACUCAAAGGGACAUGCAAAUUUAAUCCCACAUUGUAAUGCAGAGCUCAGAUGGCUGCAUUUGAGGAUGGGUCAGGAGUUGAGCCAUAAAUCUGUGCUCCCAAGCAGGCUGCCACACUCGCUCUUUGUCUCAGUCAUUUCCUGGAAAACAGCUCUGUGAGCUCUGGAGUGGCAGGGAAAUGCCCCCUCCACCCUCCUGCCACAGUGAGAGGUGUCUGUCCCGCAGCAGAGCCACUCCCAGCACCUACAGGUGACCCCCUUUUGAGGGAAUUCUGAGAAGAUGAAAAUGGGGGGGGGGGGGGGGGGCACUUCAAAGCACUCACCAGGACUUCCCACACCUCCCAUGCCAGAGUGGCACUGAGCCCAUCACCCUUCCCGGGGCCAUCUCCAGACCCCCUGACCUCCACACCAGUGACACCACAUUCCCAGAGGAACUGGCUAAAAGAAGAGGAACCAUAUGAAAACACAUAAUUUUCACCUUUUUUAAAAUCUCCUGCCACCUGCCAACUUCCAAGGGGUCACACCAGGAGGCACAGGACUAAUUUCAAGGCAAUAAAAACUUGGAAAACCAAACUACCACUACCUAUGAGUAGGUACCUUAGUUCUGAUUUUGUCACAUAGCCAAAGACGCACCAAGUUCUAAGAACCUAAUGUAGUCCCCAAAAACUUUGGAAGAUGCUCUUCAGAUCAGUGACCUACCUUGGAACAUUAUCGAAAUGGAAACUCUACUUACAUGCUUUUAUUCCACUAACUGACAGCAAGAAAACCCAGUUCCAGCAGGACAGCACACACAAAGCACUCAUUUGAGCGCCAAGUGUCUCACAGGGCCUGGGAUCAGAGAGUAAUCACUUUGCUACGGUGCCUGUUUGGGGCAACAACAAAACCCAUUUUCCUCAGCCAUAUAACUUUAAGGACAAGUGCCUGCCCCCUUACAGCUCCCUCCCAAAACACAUUGAGGCAGGCAGUUAAUUUGGUAACAAAAUAUAUUUAGAAGGCUACAGUGAAAUAUUAAUUAUACACAUGUUUUAAGACCAAAGGUUACUUAAGUACUAGACAAAUACAAGGUACUGAGGGGUGCUUCAAGGUUUCUCUCUCCUAUAAAAAAAUUCACUUAGAAUUCUAAUCCAAAAUUCAUUUUCUCUUAAAAACAAGACAGGCUCUAUCUCAGAUUUCUAUGCAAGCAAUUUAUGAUACCCAAAAGGAAAAAAUAAAAAUAGCUAACAGCCUAGCAGAGCUUUUAUCACCUUUUUUAAAUCUGCUAGUUCCAAACCAGAUGCAUUCAGUAUAUAAUUCUGAUUAGGAAAAAAAUAGCUGUUGAAUUUUUAUUACUACAUCCCUUAAGGACCAAAAGCGGUAACCUUAGGCACUUAAUGUGUUCCAUGAAUAACAAUACAUAUGAGCACACAAAAAGCUUGUUAUCUCUGUUUAUGGAUUUUUUUUUUAACACGUUGAUACAUUUAUGGAAAGAAGUUGGGAAGUAUGGUGAGAGGGAGGAGAGGAAGCUAUCAAAAUAACAAGUUACAUUAAACAAAACCUACUUGGAAAGGAACAAGCUAUGCAGUAUGAAAUUUGCAUGAACUGUGUCUCCCCGUUACGGUCCUACAGCUCCCAUGAAAUCUGUGCAGCCUCAUUUAAUGCUUAUACUAAAAGCCUUCACCUAUACACAUCUGUCCCAGAAAUACAAAUGCAAUUUCUAUUUAAGCCUGAGAAAAAAAUCACUUGUUGGGGGAACAUGCUGCGUACACAGACUUUCUUAUUUUAUAAACAGUGUGAAACACACAGGAGUCCUUCACGAUGGUUCAGAACAGCUCACUGGAUGCAAAGAAGCAUCUUCUCCCCACUCCCUCACAUCUGUAACCACCUGACCCACCAGGCAAAGGGCUGCCACCACACACCACCCUGCCACAGGAUGAGUUUCUGCCCUGCGUUGUAUCACAGCUCCCUUCCCACAGCUAGAAAAAAAACCCCAUACAAACUGCAGCUAAGCAACACAGAGCUUUCUCCUUCAGAAAUCAGCUUACAACCUCUCCAAAAAAUGUGGGAAAGCCGUCAGAAUAAAAAUUUACAAACCAGCCAUUUGUGGUGCUGGCAUGGUUUCCUUCUGGUAUUUAGCUCAUUCCAAGAAAAAAAAAAUUAAAAUAGUUUCUCCAAUAGAAUCCUUCCCAUAUUUUCAGCUCUGAGAAUUCACAAGGACUCAAGCUGAGUUACACUGACUCUGGAGCCAGCAGAUUCUAAGAGUACAAAAAUCACCCCAGAAAAUAAUGGAGCAGGGGAGCUGAGGGAAGUCCAUACAUCCCUCAGCUCUCAAACUCGACUGAAAAAAGGAAAAUGAGCAUACAGCCAGAGCACACCAUGUUUUUGCUCUCCUCGUGGCAUCCUGCUCCAAUUUAUUCUAAAUGGAUUCAGAGCCCAGAAAGAGGACAAAAAUGUGAAUUAGUUUUUGUUCCUCCUUUUAGCACGGAAGAACUGAUAAAGACUUAGAAUCUGCUGUCAAAGGCUCUGGUCCUUUACCAAAUCCUUUGCUGUCUUCUCCCACUGACACCUGCCUAUGUCCCUUGGCUGCUGCCUUGAGAAACCAGAUGCAACAGCGAGCAUGAUUCUUCUUUCUCCUUUGAUCAUGGCUGCAGGAUUCUGUCUCCAGCCAUUGAUUUCCUCCUCCUUUUCCAGGCUCAAGGAAGAGGACAAACAGAGACUCUGGCAGCCGUCGAAUGUUUAGUAGCUGGAAGAGUGGGCCAUGCCCUUGGAGAAGAUCAGGAGACACAGGAGCCUGACCCACAGUUCAGAGGAAAGGAAUUCACAGCAGAGCAUCCCACCAGCACAGCCGCAUUUCUGGAGCCCAAACCCGAGCUCAGCUGUGUCAUUUACCCCACGAGGUCCCAGCUGUCAACCUGGCCUGGUAUCCUGACCGCCUAGGGCACAAAUGCCCUCAGCCAGCUGCUUGGCUCAGGGUACAAUUCUCUCUUUUUAAAUGAGAUUAGCGUUGGUGAAAUGUGCUAGCUCAAUGGGCAUGCUGAUCUAAGUCCUCUGUUUAUUUGGGCUGCAGCAGAUACAACGAUCACUUUAAAAAAAAAAAAAGACACCAUUUAAAAAAAUGCCAUGAAUUCGCCUGAGCUCCUGCAGUUGCUCAUUCAUCACAGAAUGAGGAGGGUUUCUUACAGAUCUGCUGAGAACUGAGGACUGGAAAGGAUGAAUCUUGAAACUGUGGUAAGUAUAUAAACUUAGCCACCUACCUCCUUGAGACUAAUGUGAAGAAUCUACUUGCCAACAAAAAACCCAACAGAGUAUUCUGCCUUCCUAUCCAUUUCAGUCAUCAGGCACCUCUGCUGCCACCAAGAUUAUUAAAAAAGAAAAGAAGCGGGGGGAGGGAUAUUUUAAAUAUCGGGGGGGGGGGGGUGUGGUACAAGGGAGCCAAUAACACCGAGGUGCUGCCAUAAGUAUGAAUAAAUAAAAAUGUGGUUUGGUUAUGCUUAAAAAAAAAAAAAAAGGAAAGGCUAUGAAGUUAAAGUUGAAACAGCUGAAGUCCCAUGUUCAUUGUAAGGAUGUCAAACGUUAUUGCCAUGAAUAAGCAAUUCUUUGUUUAGAAUGCCUUUUUAAGCAGAAAGAUGAAGAUUUGAGUCAGUGUGUUUCACAGACAGUUUCCUCGGCGCAGAGCUACCAAACCGAGAGAGCACAACCAGCUCCCCGGCUAGGAAGCGACCAACGCGCCGCGGUGCGCCGUGUCGAUGAUGCGCGGAGCAGGUCUCUAACUGCACACAGCGGGGCCAUUAUCGUGUGCUGUCACCGUGGGCCACUAAAAGGGAAUAUCCUGUCUUACUAAGUCUGCGUGCAAAGCAUCAGUCUAGAAGAAGCUCCUUCAUCCCUUGGCAGAGCAUUGAAAGUGAAAAUGAGGACUUCCAUCCUUACCUGGAGCUGACCUUGGCUAUUUGACAGUUAUGAAUAAAAACACCAGCUUCUCUCUUGUGUAUCCCUGGAAUACCUGGACAUUUUCUUAAGAUUUCUCUUUUUGUCUGCCCUGAAGCAAAAGCAGCCAGAACUCGGCCUCUUCUCCAGUGCUGGCAGAAGUUACCCAUUGUCAUGGUUGGCCUGUGAGAGUUUGCAUAAGAAACAGGGGCAGGAGAGCAAAUCCCAGCUUUUCUGGUCUGCAGCAAUCCCCCAACGGGACAGACACGGGCUCCUGGCUGACAUGGGAACGUCUGGCUGCAUGCUGUGUGGUGUGUUCUGGGCUGGGUCAGUCACUGGUCAGCCUGGCACCUGCAAGGACCUGCCAGGCCCUGGACCUUGUCUCUGACAGCAAUCACAGGUGGCACAUGGACCUCUUGCCUGGGGUGCUCCUACUCUUGUUGCCCCAGCUGCAGACUCUGGAUUUUUUUGUAUCAGCCAUAAGAGCCCUGCAGCAAGAGUGUUCACAUCCUUUCAGCAGAGACCACUCCACUUUGGAAACAGGUUUGAGAAAACUCCAUUUUCCCCUGAGGCUUGCUUUCCCUUGUAUGCAUCUCAGGUCGAGUUCCAGAGGAAAGGAAACAUUAACCUAAGUCUUGUGCAGCUAUUUGAGCAGAAAGGGAAUUCUGGUUGUCCUCAGCAUAUGGAGAGUGGGAUGGGGAAAGCUCAGGUGUGAGCCAGCUGAUGGAGCAUGGGCAACAUUGGUGCUGCUGAGGGACAUCAAGGUGUGGAAUGUGAUAGUCCAAGGGACAAUGUGAAAAGCACCACAGAGGCUAUGGGAACACCAAGAGCUCUUUAGUAAAUAGCCAUGCUCAAGGUAAAAUUAGUACACAAUCACAUCAUGUACAUAUCGUAAUCAUAUCAUGUACAUAGUGAAAGGAAUUUGAGGUACACUGCAUGGAUUUUGAUCCAAUGUGUUUUCUCUCUAUAUGGUGUCUAGUUUUCCUUCUCCUCCUCUAAACAAUGGCUCCUCUUCUUGUCUUCUUCCUCUUUCUCAAAGGACAAGAUUGAUUUUUAAA